rnacentral:rRNA from 1 species
AGUGAACGCUGGCGGUAGGCCUAACACAUGCAAGUCGAACGGCAGCACAGUAAGAGCUUGCUCUUACGGGUGGCGAGUGGCGGACGGGUGAGGAAUACAUCGGAAUCUACUUUUUCGUGGGGGAUAACGUAGGGAAACUUACGCUAAUACCGCAUACGACCUACGGGUGAAAGCAGGGGAUCUUCGGACCUUGCGCGAGUGAAUGAGCCGAUGUCGGAUUAGCUAGUUGGCGGGGUAAAGGCCCACCAAGGCGACGAUCCGUAGCUGGUCUGAGAGGAUGAUCAGCCACACUGGAACUGAGACACGGUCCAGACUCCUACGGGAGGCAGCAGUGGGGAAUAUUGGACAAUGGGCGCAAGCCUGAUCCAGCCAUACCGCGUGGGUGAAGAAGGCCUUCGGGUUGUAAAGCCCUUUUGUUGGGAAAGAAAGGCAGCAGGUUAAUACCCCGCUGUUCUGACGGUACCCAAAGAAUAAGCACCGGCUAACUUCGUG